rnacentral:rRNA from 1 species
GACGAACGCGGCGGCGUGCCUAAUACAUGCAAGUAGAACGCUGAAGGAGGAGCUUGCUUCUCUGGAUGAGUUGCGAACGGGUGAGUAACGCGUAGGUAACCUGCCUGGUAGCGGGGGAUAACUAUUGGAAACGAUAGCUAAUACCGCAUAAUAGUAGAUGUUGCAUGACAUUUGCUUAAAAGGUGCAAUUGCAUCACUACCAGAUGGACCUGCGUUGUAUUAGCUAGUUGGUGAGGUAACGGCUCACCAAGGCAACGAUACAUAGCCGACCUGAGAGGGUGAUCGGCCACACUGGGACUGAGACACGGCCCAGACUCCUACGGGAGGCAGCAGUAGGGAAUCUUCGGCAAUGGACGGAAGUCUGACCGAGCAACGCCGCGUGAGUGAAGAAGGUUUUCGGAUCGUAAAGCUCUGUUGUAAGAAAAGAACGAGUGUGAGAGUGGAAAGUUCACACUGUGACG